rnacentral:rRNA from 1 species
GGGUGAGUAACGCGUAGGCAACCUACCUUAAGCAGGGGGAUAAUAUAGGGAAAUUUGUGUUAAUAUUGUAUAAUAUUGGGAUAUGGUAUUAUAAUUUAAUCAAAGGAGUAAUCCGGCAUAAGAUGGGCCUGCGUCCAAUUAGCUAGUUGGUGGAGUAAUGGUUCACCAAGGCGACGAUUGGUAGCCGAACUGAGAGGUUGAUCGGCCACAUUGGGACUGAGACACGGCCCAAACUCCUACGGGAGGCAGCAGUGGGGAAUAUUGUGUAAUGGGGGAAACCCUGACGCAGCAACGCCGCGUGAAGGAAGAAGGCUUUCGGGUUGUAAAUUUUUUUGAAUGGGGAUGAAAAAAAUGAUGGUAUUUAUAAAACAAGCCACGGCUAACUACGUGCCAGUAGCCGCGGUAAUACGUAGGUGGUAAGUGUUAUCCGGAAUUACUGGGUGUAAAGGGCGUGUAGGCGGGAGAGUAAGUCAGAUGUGAAAUUCCAAGGUUUAACCAUGGAGCUGCAUCUGAAACUAUUCUUCUUGAGUGUUGGAGAGGAAAGUGGAAUUUUUAGUGUAGUGGUGAAAUGUGUAGAGAUUAGGAGGAAUAUUAGUGGUGAAGGUGGCUUUCUGGACAAUAACUGACGCUGAGGCGCGAAAGCGUGGGGAGCAAACAGGAUUAGAUAUCCUGGUAGACCACGCUGUAAACGAUGGAUACUAGGUGUAGGAGGUAUCGAUCCCUUCUGUGCCGGAGUUAACACAAUAAGUAUCCCACCUGGGGAGUACGGCCGCAAGGUUGAAACUCAAAGGAAUUGACGGGGGCCCGCACAAGCAGUGGAGUAUGUGGUUUAAUUUGAAGCAAUGUGAAGAAUUUUACCAGGACUUGACAUCUCUUGAAGUCAUCAGAGAUGAUGAUGUUUCUUCGGAAUAAGAAGACAGGUGGUGCAUGGUUGUCGUCAGCUCGUGUCGUGAGAUGUUGGGUUAAGUCCCGCAAUGAGCCCAACCCUUAUCGUUAGUUGCCAGCACAUUAUGGUGGGUACUCUAGCGAGACUGCCGGCGACAAGUCGGAGGAAGGUGGGGAUGAUGUCAAAUCAUCAUGCCCCUUAUGUCCUGGGCUACACACGUACUACAAUGGCCGUUACAGUGGGAAGCGAAACUGUAAAGUGGAGCAAAUCUUCAAAGGUGGCUUUAGUUUGGAUUGUGGGCUGAAACCCGCCCACAUGAAGUCGGAAUUGCUAGUAAUGGCAGGUCAGCAUAUUGCUGUGAAUACGUUCCCGGGCCUUGUACACACCGCCCGUCUCACCAUGAGAGUUGGUAAUACCCGAAGUCAGUAGUCUAACCGUAAGGAGGGCGCUGCUGAAGGUAGGACCGAUGAUUAGGGUGAAGUUGGAACAAGGUA